AGGUGGUUUGUCCUCGCAGUUCUAUAUAACAAUGGCACGAGAUAUGAUGCUGCGUAGCCUGCAUGUGUGGGCCAAAUGGAUACUGCGGUGUGAUCUCCAAUCAAAGAUGCAGAGGGCACAAGCAUCCCUAGUGACCACAGUUACUGCACAGGACUGAUGAAUCCUGCUAAUCUGUGCACUGAGCUGAGUUGAGAGUUUUCUUGGAGCACCACAGUGUCAAGUAAUCUACUGUAAUGACAAGAAUGGUCACCUGGAAGUAGACCCUAUGCAGUGCCAAGGAUCUACAGGAUGGGGUACAUAUUCCACAAUAGCAUUGAUUCACCUAGCUCCAAGAACGGGGUGCUGGACCUCCUCCUAGGACAUGCAGACAUAUGCAGUAUGGAAUGGACUCCUCUGCAGGAGCUUGUGAGCCACUUGUGCACGCUAGCACGAUCAGGGAUAGCUGCCAGUGAGCCACAGGCCUCGGGGUGGUACAGCCACGCCAGAGGAGCUGCAGGUGCGGGGUGCUGGCUCCUGGGAGUGGCGGCCUGACAUGCUGUUGCUGCGGUUUCCAGUAGAGCCUUGCAGGUCCGCUGAUACAAAUUUAUAUUCAUGGAUAUCCGCAUCGCAGAUAUAAAGCUGUGCAUGGCUCUAGUCUAAAGGCAUAAGGGAACAUUAGAUCAUUUAGUCUGACUUCCUGUAUAUCACAAACCAUUACACUUCAUCCAAAUAUCCCUUUAAGCCCAACAUCUUCAGUUAGACC